rnacentral:rRNA from 1 species
AGGGAAUCUUCCACAAUGGACGAAAGUCUGAUGGAGCAAUGCCGCGUGAGUGAAGAAGGGUUUCGGCUCGUAAAACUCUGUUGUUAAAGAAGAACACCUUUGAGAGUAACUGUUCAAGGGUUGACGGUAUUUAACCAGAAAGCCACGGCUAACUACGUGCCAGCAGCCGCGGUAAUACGUAGGUGGCAAGCGUUGUCCGGAUUUAUUGGGCGUAAAGCGAGCGCAGGCGGUUUUUUAAGUCUGAUGUGAAAGCCUUCGGCUUAACCGGAGAGGUGCAUCGGAAACUGGGAGACGUGAGUGCAGAAGAGGACAGUGGAACUCCAUGUGUAGCGGUGGAAUGCGUAGAUAUAUGGAAGAACACCAGUGGCGAAGGCGGCCCCCUGGACAAAGACGGACGCUCAGGUGCGAAAGCGUGGGGAGCAAACA